rnacentral:rRNA from 1 species
UACUUAGGGCGCAAGCGUUGUCCGGAAUUAUUGGGCGUAAAGAGCUCGUAGGCGGCUUGUCACGUCGGGUGUGAAAGCCCGGGGCUUAACCCCGGGUCUGCAUUCGAUACGGGCAGGCUAGAGUGUGGUAGGGGAGAUCGGAAUUCCUGGUGUAGCGGUGAAAUGCGCAGAUAUCAGGAGGAACACCGGUGGCGAAGGCGGAUCCCUGGGCCAUUACUGACGCUGAGGAGCGAAAGCGUGGGGAGCGAACAGG